rfam:Aedes aegypti strain Liverpool supercont1.200 genomic scaffold, whole genome shotgun sequence.
UGCCCAGCAACUCCUAUCCCUACCUCCUCGUGGUACUGGCCGGGGUACGAGUAACCUUGGGGAAGAUCGGGUAACCAACCCCCGGUGGUAACUUUGGUCGUAUGCUGACAGGGAAGG